rnacentral:tRNA from 1 species
GCCACCUUAGCUCAGUUGGUAGAGCAAUGCUUUCGUAAAGCANNGGUAGAGCAGUCCCUUCGUAAGGGAAAGAUCCUCGGUUCGACCCCGAGAGGUGGCUCAA